rfam:Oceanobacillus oncorhynchi strain Oc5 genome assembly, contig: CONTIG000001
GUGAACGGUAGAGGUGCAAAAACCAUUAGUAAAUAUGCUGAGACAGAAUAGGCUGACGAUGAAGCAUAUGGAAAGGGGAAUUUGCCGAAGUAUAAUAAGCCUUAUUCUUAUUAUACUGGUACUGGUAUUGAAUAAAUCCAGUGCUGUCAUAUAGGAAACUAUGUGGAGGGCUAUCAGCUGA